AACCUGGUUGAUCCUGCCAGUAGUCAUAUGCUUGUCUCAAAGAUUAAGCCAUGCAUGUCUAAGUAUAAGCCUUUACACGGUGAAACUGCGAAUGGCUCAUUAAAACAGUUAUCGUCUCCUUGACAGUUCAUACUACAUGGAUACCUAUGGUAAUUCUAGAGCUAAUACAUGCCUAAAGACCCGACUUCGGAAGGGUUGUGCUUAUUAGAUACUACACCAACUGUCUUCGGACAGUUUUGCUGACUCAUAGUACCCAGCGAAUCGCAUGCUUCGGCGGCGAUGUGUCAUCCGAGUUUCUGACCUAUCAGCUUUCGACGGUAGGGUAUUGGCCUACCGUUGCUUUGACGGGUAACGGAGAAUUAGGGUUCGAUUCCGGAGAGGGAGCCUGCGAAACGGCUACCACAUCUAAGGAAGGCAGCAGGCGCGCAAAUUACCCAAUCCUGACUCAGGGAGGUAGUGACAAGAAAUAACAAUACUGGACCUUUCAGGUUUAGUAAUUGGAAUGAGAACAAUUUAAAACCCUUAUCGAGUAUCAAUUGGGAGGGCAAGUCUGGUGCCAGCAGCCGCGGUAAUUCCAGCUCCAAUAGC
rnacentral:rRNA from 1 species